rnacentral:rRNA from 1 species
AUGAACGCUGGCGGCGUGCCUAAUACAUGCAAGUCGAGCGAACGGACGAGAAGCUUGCUUCUCUGAUGUUAGCGGCGGACGGGUGAGUAACACGUGGAUAACCUACCUAUAAGACUGGGAUAACUUCGGGAAACCGGAGCUAAUACCGGAUAAUAUUUUGAACCGCAUGGUUCAAAAGUGAAAGACGGUCUUGCUGUCACUUAUAGAUGGAUCCGCGCUGCAUUAGCUAGUUGGUAAGGUAACGGCUUACCAAGGCAACGAUGCAUAGCCGACCUGAGAGGGUGAUCGGCCACACUGGAACUGAGACACGGUCAAGACUCCUACGGGAGGCAGCAGUAGGGAAUCUUCCGCAAUGGGCGAAAGCCUGACGGAGCAACGCCGCGUGAGUGAUGAAGGUCUUCGGAUCGUAAAACUCUGUUAUUAGGGAAGAACAUAUGUGUAAGUAACUGUGCACAUCUUGACGGUACCUAAUCAGAAAGCCACGGCUAACUACGUG